AUUGAACGCUGGCGGCAGGCCUAACACAUGCAAGUCGAGCGGAGCGGCGGACGGGUGAGUAAGGACUAGGAAUCUGCCUGGUAGUGGGGGAUAACGUCAGGAAACGGGCGAUAAUACCGCAUACUAGGAGAUGAGCAUAGGUCGGAUUAGCUAGUUGGUGGGGUAAAGGCCUACCAAGGCGACGAUCCGUAACUGGUCUGAGAGGAUGAUCAGUCACACUGGAACUGAGACACGGUCCAGACUCCUACGGGAGGCAGCAGUGGGGAAUAUUGGACAAUGGGCGAAAGCCUGAUCCAUCCAUGCCGCGUGUGUGAAGAAGGUCUUCGGAUUGUAAAGCACUUUAAGUUGGGAGGCGUUACCAACAGAAUAAGCACCGGCUAACUUCGUGCCAGCAGCCGCGGUAAUAC
rnacentral:rRNA from 1 species